GGAGAUGACGAUGAGGAUAUAAUGCUCCCUCUUCUGAGUUCAGCUGAAGUAACUUGCUGGCAGAAUCGAACCUAAAAUAUCACUAGCCACCACUGAGUCA
rfam:Brassica rapa chromosome A3, whole genome shotgun sequence.